rnacentral:lncRNA from 1 species
ACUUGCCAAACUCUUUUUUACAAUCUAUUUUCCAUCAAUGACCACAUCUUCUAUGUGGUCCAACGUUAAUUGUUGAUGGUGUUGUAAACACUCAAAGUGAUUUUGUGUUAGGACUGCAACCUAACCAACCACCAAGUUCUGUCAGCCCCUAUCCAAAGCUAUAGUAUAUCAUGUAAACUAUUUGUUUAAUGGUGAAACAAAAAAAAGAGGCAAAAGUAGGAAGCCAUCAAAAUCUUGUAAAGUCUAAUAAUUAAUUGAUCACAUUCUCAUUGCUGAAUGAAGGAAAAAAUCUGAUUAACCGCAUAAUAAAUUGCUAGUUACACAGAAUGAUGUACACCACUUACGAAGUUUUCUUUCUGAUCAACUUGUGCAGAUCCUUGCAACUAUAUUGUUGGUCUAAAGAUCCCUGUAAGAAAAUGUUGAAAAAACCUUAGAUCCUUCUUUUCUCUCUCGCACGCACAAACAAAACCCUCAACAACUCAUAAAAAUCCAAUCUUUCCCUCUCACACUCUUCUUCAGCUAACAACAACAUAUCCCUCAAGCGAUUUCAAUUAUCAAAUAUUGCCAUAACAUGGGUUUCGUUCAUUGGGAUAUAAAGCUAGAAAAUAACCUCCUUGCAAACUCCGUGAGAAAUAGGUCCAUCCUGUUGAACAGAGGAAUUCACGUUAACACAUCCCAAUUCAAGCAGCAGUUUCCUGAAGGCAGUAGUAAAGCCAAGAAAGAUAUCUUGUGCAUAGUUAGAAAAAAAUCAUAAGUCUCUUUGACAUGCAUAUGGAUUAGCAUUGAUUUGGAUCACUUGAAUAACCACUCCUCUCAGCAUAUCAAUUUUGAGAGAGAGAGAGAGAGAGAGAGAAUCGAUUUCUUUAACUUUAGCCUUCAUGACUUUUUUUUGUUCUAGAGGGUAGGGUGACAGAGAUAGGAAAAAAAAUAAAGAAGACAAAAGAUGGCAAAUUGAUCUGACAGAUUGAAACUCAAUUGAAAUGCAGCUUGAUUUAACCAGUAAUCUCCAGAGCUACAACAAUACACAAAUUGCUCAACAACAAAAAUUAAAGUAAAAUCCCCAACUAAACACAAAUAAACCCACCAGCUUUUUCAGUAAUACAAAACUAAAUCUGAUCAAAUGGGCGUCACAUUUCAUGCACAUAAUGAGAACCCAUACAAUCUAGAAGAAAUGGCUCCCAAAAUCACGCCGGAUUUUCUAGGUCGGUGCCCAUGUUUUUGUUCUUUUUUUAGGCAAGUUCUCGGUUGGUUCUUGAUUGAUUCCAGAUUUCUAUGCCAUUUGAUUGUAGUCCCGACCCCAACACCAAUCUCAUCCCCUGCAAACCUCACCUAACCAUCCUAGCCCUAAUAAUUGUCCCAUCCCCCACAAACCGCACCUAUUGAAUCCAAGAAACCACCAAAAUCCAAGAAACCACCAACAAAUAAAAGAAAGAUGAACACACUCAAAGAAAAACUGAGUUCAUUGUGUGAGUCCACAGUGCAUAACUCUGAAUAAACAGUUGAAUCAUCAAAUCUUUUAGUUUCUUUGUUAUGAUGAAGCAAAAGAAAACACGCCAGCGAACAACACAUAAAAAUAAUUGAAGAAAUUGAACAAAACUUCUCGUGAAAUUGAACAAACUCGCCAUGAGAAACACUGUUUGAAUCCACAGUGAAUCCACUC